UACGUAGGGGGCAAGCGUUGUCCGGAAUUAUUGGGCGUAAAGAGCGUGUAGGCGGUCCGGUAAGUCGGCUGUGAAAGUCUAGGGCUCAACCCUGGGAUGCCGGUCGAUACUGCCGGACUAGAGUUCGGAAGAGGCGAGUGGAAUUCCCGGUGUAGCGGUGAAAUGCGCAGAUAUCGGGAGGAACACCUAUGGCGAAGGCAGCUCGCUGGGACGUUACUGACGCUGAGACGCGAAAGCGUGGGGAGCAAACAGG
rnacentral:rRNA from 1 species